AGCGAACGCUGGCGGUAGGCCUAACACAUGCAAGUCGAACGGCAGCACAGUAAGAGCUUGCUCUUACGGGUGGCGAGUGGCGGACGGGUGAGGAAUACAUCGGAAUCUACUCUUUCGUGGGGGAUAACGUAGGGAAACUUACGCUAAUACCGCAUACGACCUACGGGUGAAAGCAGGGGAUCUUCGGACCUUGUGCGAUUGAAUGAGCCGAUGUCGGAUUAGCUAGUUGGCGGGGUAAAGGCCCACCAAGGCGACGAUCCGUAGCUGGUCUGAGAGGAUGAUCAGCCACACUGGAACUGAGACACGGUCCAGACUCCUGCGGGAGGCAGCAGUGGGGAAUAUUGGACAAUGGGCGCAAGCCUGAUCCAGCCAUACCGCGUGGGUGAAGAAGGCCUUCGGGUUGUAAAGCCCUUUUGUUGGGAAAGAAAAGCAGCAGGUUAAUACCCCGCUGUUCUGACGGUACCCAAAGAAUAAGCACCGGCUAACUUCGUG
rnacentral:rRNA from 1 species